CGACAAAUGGCGGGUGAAACCAGCGAACCUUUUCUUUCCCGUCAUGUUAUUCUCCUGCUGGUCUACCAGGCGAACACGGUUUUGCCUUCAUUUGAUAGUGCAGCUGAAGUUGGGGAAAGGGAGAAGAGAGGUGAUGACAUACAGCAAAGGGCCACGGCUAGAGGAGCUCAGCCUUCGUAUGUGGGCACCCACUCUACCAGCUGUUCCUUCAUGCAUUUCCAUAUCGCUGGUGAAAUGGCCUUAACAGAUUGGGUAUGAAAAUCAAAUGUUAUGAUCUGUGAUAUACUUAACUUAAGCUACGUAACAAACCACGAUCUAUUCCUAAACUUAACCAAGUACUUUUGUUUUAGUUUACAACUUUUAACAUGUUUAAAACUGCAACUGUUUCACAGUGCUAGGUGCAGUUUGCCCUGUCUGAAGCUUUGUAGUGAUAACUGUCACAGUUCAGCUCCACACCCUCCUCACUCUACUUCUCAGCCACUCCCUCCUCAUCAGUCUAACUCCCUUCACCUGUUCACUCACCGGUCUCAUAUCACUAAUCAAACCACCA